rnacentral:rRNA from 1 species
UACGAAGGGGGCUAGCGUUGCUCGGAAUCACUGGGCGUAAAGCGCACGUAGGCGGCUUUUUAAGUCAGGGGUGAAAUCCUGGAGCUCAACUCCAGAACUGCCUUCGAAACUGACGAUCUUGAGUUCGGGAGAGGUGAGUGGAACUGCGAGUGUAGAGGUGAAAUUCGUAGAUAUUCGCAAGAACACCAGUGGCGAAGGCGGCUCACUGGCCCGAUACUGACGCUGAGGUGCGAAAGCGUGGGGAGCAAACAGG